rnacentral:lncRNA from 1 species
CCUCCAUUCUUAUGAUAGCCUUGUACAAUUUCUCGAGGCCAAAAGGGUAUUCUCAAUAAGUAGUCUGCCUUGAACAAAAGCUGUUUGGUUAGGGAGGAUAACGUCGGGGAGAAUGACCUUUAAUCUUUUCACAAGCAGCUUUGAAAUAGAUUUAUAAGUAGUAUUGCAGCAGGAAAUUGGCCUAUAAUCAGAAAUAGAAGUAGCUCCUGGUUUUUUAGGGACUAACGUCAGAAUUGUUGCAUUUGUGGCAGUUGGGAGGAACCCUGAAGAGAAGAACCUUUGAAUGGCUGAAACCACCUCUUGACCAACUAUUGGCCAAGCAGCUUUGAAGAAAGAAGAAGUAAACCCAUCAGGCCCAGGAGACUUGUUGGGGUUCAGCUUGAGUAGAGUCCUUGUGAUUUCAGCAGUUGUAGGGAAGGAGGACAAGACUGAUUUAUGGUGCUCACUACAGUUAAAGCUUUGAAGCUCCAAAAACCAGGAGAAAGGAGAACUGAUAUGCAUCAAAUAUUGAGGGGCAAGAAUCUGCUGGAAAUGAGAGACCGCAAUAUCACUCAUUUCCUUCGGGUCUGAAGUAGAUGAACCAUUAACCAAGCAUAAAGAUCUGAUGGAGUUGUAGGAUGCUCUAGCCAUUGCAACUCUGUAGAAGAAAGUAGUGUUCUGGUCCCCUAGGUGUAACCAAUUGAUUAUGGACUUCUGUUUGAAAAAAGAUUCCUCAAUUCCUCUGAGGAAUAACCAUUUAGAGUGGAGGUCCCUUUCAGCUUGGAAAAUGUCUAAGGAUGGAUUAUCUAUAGCUUGAACCUGCACAACUUUUAACAAACUGUUAGUAACACUCACUCUCCUCUGAAUAUCUGAAAAGCUCUCUUUGUUUAGUGAUUUUAGAACUCUUUUUAGAAUUUUCAAUUUGAACCCCAACAGUGAAAGAUCUAAAACUCUGUCUCCACUCUCAAUCCAUGCAGCCUCAACUUGGGAGAGAAAAAGUGGGUGAUCAGAAAGGAAGUUUAGGAAUUUGAAGGGCUUUGUGCCAGUAGUAGGAAGAGGACAAGAAAGAUCAAUUAGGCAAGGAGUAUGAUCAGAGAAUUCUUGGGGUAAGAAAGAGGCUAAACUGUUUGGAAAACUACUGAUCCAAUUAUCAUUGACUAACACUCUGUCCAACUUCUUUGUGAUAGGGUCAUCCGGUCUGUUGUUCGUCCAAGUAUGGUUACACCCUUGAAACCUGAGGUCAAAGAUACCCAAAGAUAAUAAGUGAUCUUUCAUUUCAAUCAUAUCUGUAGUCAGGUGAUUGACAUUUGAUGAAGAGUGCUCAUCAUGAUGGAUGAUCUGGUUGAAGUCACCCCCAAUAAUCCAGUUCUGAUUUUCAAGGAAAAGAGUAGUCUGGAUUUCAUGGAGGUCAUCCCACAGAUAAGUUAUCUCCUCUCUGAGAUUUGAAGCGUAGACAGCCGUGAGAAUAAAACUUGUGCCUGCAUGUAUCUGGAUUUUGCAGGUUAUUGAUUGCCUAGACUGAUGGAGCACUUGCACAGUAGUUGAAGGUUUCCAAAAAAUUAUGAUCCUUCAUCCUUCCAUCCUCAUCAGUAUCAUGGUUAGAGGUAAAAAGCCAGCCAGGACAAACUUUUUGCAUAAUCUGAUUCAAACUUGGUUCUUUUAUGUGUGAUUCCAAAAUAGCACCCACAACUGGCUGAUUAGUAUAUAGCCAUUGAACAAAAGGCCGAUGCUUAUCCGGGUCAUUUAGGCCACGGACAUUCCAAAAAGAUAUAUGGGGACUCAUUGGGUUUUGGAAUGAGCCUCUUUCUGGGUAAAAAGAGGACUCUGCCCAGGAGAAGAAGGAGGAGCCUUAGUGUUUGGGGAUGAGGGUAGCAAAUGGGAUUGAGUGGUUAUUAUUGAGUAAGAGUUUGUGUUUGGGGUAGGAGUGGUAAUGCUUGGUGGGUUAGGUGUGGUGUAUGGUGGCUUAGAGGGGAUGAAAGGGUUAAAAGAAGUUGGGGUUGAAUUUAGGGCAUCAAAUUUAUUGGUUAAGGGUAGAGAAAGGGUAUUGUCCGAGACCACUAUAGGGCGAGACACAAACUCAGCUUUGAGAGCAAGCACACAAUCCAGAAGAAUAUCAUCUGCCUGCACAUCCAUUGGAGAACCAGCAGCAAUAGGGGACUCAGAGGUAACAACAGAUUGAAUAGUCUCUUUUUGUGGAGAAAUAUCCAACACCAUAGUCUCUACUAACUGAGAAUCCUUGACAGCAAUGGGAGCUAGCUCCACAUGUGACACAUGAGCUUCAGACUUUUCAGAAGUAGAAGUCAAACCCUUUUGAGCAAUAGGAGAAGUCGGAGUAGUCUGGGAAACAAGUUUAUUAACAGGUACAGAGUUUCUCUUAGCUUUAGAAGUGACUGGGGUCCAAUGGUUUUCUGCUUUUGGACAAUUUCUCAUAAAAUGACCAACUUCUUUACACAGAUAACAAGCAUGAGGGACAACCUGAGGACCAGACGGUUUAGGAGGAGGCGCAGGUUGAGAAGCAGCAGUAGGAGGUGGAGCUAGAAGACAGUUUCUCAUAAUAUGACCCACUUCUUGACAGUGGGAGCAUACCGGAGGCACCCAAGGGUAAUCAACCUUUACAGUAAAUAUUGAUCCAUCUGACCUUAGAACUUCAAGCACCGGAGGCAGAGGCUUAGUGGAGUCAACUUCCACUUUUACAUGAGCAAUACUGAUACUGGUGAGGUUAAUAGUCCAAUCAUCAGUUUCUAUAGGUUCACCAAUGAGGCCAGCAAUGUGACUAAGCCCUUGCUGGUGGAUAAGGUCAAACGGAACAUCUUUUAGGUGAGCCCAAAGAGGAAUGCGCUGUAGAGAAGGAGAGGAGUUAUCCAAGGAAGCAGACCACUAUGACACAUGAAACAUGGUAGUUUCCACAUACCAAAUUCUCUUUUCUAAAACUUUCUGUCUAAUGUAAUCAUUUGGAAGUCUAACAAGAACUGAGUUGCCUGCAGGAGAAAGAUGGAUUUCCAAGUGCUUUCCUUUACCCCACAUGAAGUUUAGGACACUCUGAGUUAGGUGAUACGGCGGAAUCCGACCAAAAAAUCUGCAGAUGAGAAAAUCUUUAUGAAGUUCAGCCCCUUUGUGAAAGACUUCGUCAGGAAUUUCAACUCUUGGGAUCCCUGAUGGAGAGAAUGAGACAGGGGACAACCUUUUCAAGGAUUUAUCCACAGAUGGUUUAACUUUUGAGGCAUAAGAAGGCGGACCAGUAGCAGCUUUAGGAAGGGGAGGGUUAGGGUUAGAAAUAGGAGGAAGAGAGGUAAGAUUCGAGAUGGAUGAGCCAUUAAUGACAACAUAGUCAAGUUUAGAACUUUGCAAUGGAGGGAUGGAUGAUUGAGGAAAAGAAGCGGGAGUAGCCCCAAGUAUACCAGGAAGAGACUGAGAAGGAGGAGAAGGGAUGGUGGAAGUAGUAGAAGAAUUCAAAUUUUCCGAAAAUACUGUAGCUACUGUAGCAGUUUCAGAUCCAGUGGGAAUAGUACCAGAUCUAGGGUUCUGAGACAAAUUUGAAGAGGAAACCAAGUAAGAAGACAGAAGCUGAGCCACAGAAACAACCUCAGUAGGAGGAGGGAAGGACUCACUAGUAGGAGAAGUAACUUUUACAGGAGCAGAAACAAUUUGAGAUUUGUGAAAGAUUUUACGAGGAAGAAGACGACCAGUAGCAAGAGAGGGAAAGUCAGAAGGAGAAGAAGGAUCAGGAGGGUCAGGAGGAAGAGGCGGUGGGCGGUUGAGACUACCAGCCGUAGCCGGAGGGGAGACGAGAGAGUUAGGGAACCAGGAGUUCGCCAUGAAUACUUGUACUUAUACACUUAUUUUCAUUGCAAAGAGGCAAAGACGUCUCGUAAUGAUUUUAUAAGCCUAAUUUGACAAUGUUUAUCUCUAAUGAAAGUAUCAUAGUCGCGUCUCUGAUUAUUUAGAUGAUUUAAGGGGGACUUAACCUCGGAUAAGUUCAAAGACGUUACACAUAUAUAAGUGUAGUUUUCAAAUAUUUUCGAGUCAAACAAGUAGCAAUUAGCAACUACAGUAAAACCUCUAUAAAUU